AAACCAACAGGAUUGCCUCAGUAGCGGCGAGUGAAGCGGCAAGAGCUCAGAUUUGAAAUCUCACCUAGUGUGCGAGUUGUAAAUUGCAGGUUGGAGUCUCGGGUUAGACGUGUGUGCAAGUCCCUUGGAACAGGGCGCCACUGAGGGUGAGAGCCCCGUAGCGUGCAUGUCGACACCUGUGAGGCCCUUCUGACGAGUCGAGUUGUUUGGGAAUGCAGCUCUAAGUGGGUGGUAAAUUCCAUCUAAGGCUAAAUAUUGGCGAGAGACCGAUAGCGAACAAGUACUGUGAAGGAAAGAUGAAAAGCACUUUGAAAAGAGAGUGAAACAGCACGUGAAAUUGUUGAAAGGGAGGGUAUUGGGCUCGACAUGGGAUUUACGCAUCGUUGCCUCUCGUGGGCGGCGCUCUGGGGUUUUUCCUGGGCCAGCAUCGGUUUUCGUUGCAGGAUAAGGACAAUUGGAAUGUGGCUCCUCGGAGUGUUAUAGCCUUUUGUAGUA
rnacentral:rRNA from 1 species